rnacentral:rRNA from 1 species
UACGUAGGGCGCAAGCGUUAUCCGGAAUUAUUGGGCGUAAAGAGCUCGUAGGCGGUUUGUCGCGUCUGCCGUGAAAGUCCGGGGCUCAACUCCGGAUCUGCGGUGGGUACGGGCAGACUAGAGUGAUGUAGGGGGAGACUGGAAUUCCUGGUGUAGCGGUGAAAAUGCGCAGAUAUCAGGAGGAACACCGGUGGCGAAGGCGGGUCUCUGGGCAGUAACUGACGCUGAGGAGCGAAAAGCGUGGGGGAGCGAAACAGG